rnacentral:rRNA from 1 species
GUGAGGAAUAUUGCGCAAUGGGGGCAACCCUGACGCAGCGAUGCCGCGUGGGUGACGAAGGUCUUCGGAUCGUAAAGCCCUGUCAGGUGGGAAGAAUAGCUUGGGGGACAAUACCCUCCAGGUGUGACGGUACCACCGAAGGAAGCACCGGCUAACUCCGUGCCAGCAGCCGCGGUAAGACGGAGGGUGCAAGCGUUAUUCGGAAUCAUUGGGCGUAAAGGGCGUGCAGGCGGCCGAUCAAGUCAGGGGUGAAAGCCCGGGGCUCAACCCCGGAAGUGCCUCUGAUACUGGCUGGCUUGAGUUCGGGAGAGGGAAGCGGAAUUCCGGGUGUAGAGGUGAAAUUCGUAGAUAUCCGGAGGAACACCGGUGGCGAAGGCGGCUUCCUGGACCGAAACUGACGCUGAGACGCGAAAGCGUGGGGAGCAAACAGGAUUAGAAACCCCUGUAGUCC